CUGCACCUAAAAGGCAACCAUGUAGUAAAGCCUCUCAGGAUAAAGAACUAACAAGUCAUAUGGUCGACGGAGUAUCAUGUUCGGCACCUCCAACUUAUGAGCUUCAACAAGCUCAAGAUGACCAAUUUAAUUUUACAGCUUUUUUGAUGGCACCACUUGACGAAACAGACGUUGCAGGAUUACACUGAUCGAAGUUAAUAGAUCAUUAAGUUGAAUUUUUUGUAUUUUAGUA